rnacentral:rRNA from 1 species
UACGUAGGGACCUAGCGUUGUCCGGAAUCAUUGGGCGUAAAGCGCGCGUAGGCGGCCCGGUAAGUCCGUUGUAAAAGUCGAAGGCUCAACCUUCGAAAGCCGAUGGAUACUGCCGGGCUAGAGUACGGAAGAGGCGAGUAGAAUUCCUGGUGUAGCGGUGGAAUGCGCAGAUAUCAGGAGGAAUACCCAUAGCGAAGGCAGCUCGCUGGGACGUUACUGACGCUGAGACGCGAAAGCGUGGGGAGCAAACAGG